rnacentral:siRNA from 1 species
GCCGACGAAGCGACCGCAGCUGC